rnacentral:misc_RNA from 1 species
AACCAUUCUCACCUGCGGCUAGACCUGCGGAAGGAUCAUUACAUGGCGGAGAAGGUGGGCACCUGGCAAACUCCAGGUUGUGAUGCCUUCACGCUCUUCCACCCUUGUCUAUUUGCACCUUCUGUCGUUCCCUCGGCGGGUUUCGACCCGCCGGCGGCAACAUUGAAAACCCUUUUUGCAGUUAGCAUCCAAUUCUUCUGAUCAAAAUAUCAAAUCGUUACAACUUUUAACAAUGGAUCU